rnacentral:rRNA from 1 species
CGUCCUGCGCGGAAGAUGUAACGGGGCUAAGCACGUAACCGAAGCUGCGGAUCUACAGUUUACUGUAGGUGGUAGGAGAGCGUUCUGUAAGCCUGUGAAGGUAUCUUGAGAAGGAUGCUGGAGGUAUCAGAAGUGCGAAUGCUGACAUGAGUAGCGAUAAACAAGGUGAAAGUCCUUGUCGCCGAAAACCCAAGGUUUCCUACGCAACGUUCAUCGGCGUAGGGUGAGUCGGCCCCUAAGGCGAGGCAGAAAUGCGUAGUCGAUGGGAAACAGGUUAAUAUUCCUGUACCGAUAUGGAAUGCGAUGGGGGGACGGAGAAGGGUAGGUCAGCCAACUGUUGGAAUAGUUGGUUCAAGCGUGUAGGCGUGCUCUGUAGGCAAAUCCGCAGAGCUUAGCUGAGGCGUGAUAACGAGGUGCCACGUGCACUGAAUUGAUUGAUCCCAUGCUUCCAGGAAAAGCCUCUAAGCUUCAGUUCCAUAUUGACCGUACUGCAAACCGACACAGGUGGGUAGGGUGAGAAUCCUAAGGCGCUUGAGAGAACUCAGGAGAAGGAACUCGGCAAAUUAACACCGUAACUUCGGGAGAAGGUGUGCCCUUGUAGGGUGAAGUCCCUUGCGGAUGGAGCUCGAAAGGGUUGCAGUGAAAAGGUGGCUGCGACUGUUUAUUAAAAACACAGCACUCUGCAAACACGAAAGUGGACGUAUAGGGUGUGACGCCUGCCCGGUGCUGGAAGAUUAAAUGAUGGGGUGCAAGCUCUUGACUGAAGUCCCAGUAAACGGCGGCCGUAACGAUAACGGUCCUAAGGUAGCGAAAUUCCUUGUCGGGUAAGUUCUGACCCGCACGAAUGGCGUAACGAUGGCCACACUGUCUCCUCCUGAGACUCAGCGAAGUUGAAAUGUUUGUGAAGAUGCAAUCUCCCCGCUGCUAGACGGAAAGACCCCGUGAACCUUUACUGUAGCUUUGCAUUGGACUUUGAACAGACUUGUGUAGGAUAGGUGGGAGGCUUUGAAGUGGGAACGCCAGUUCUCAUGGAGCCGUCCUUGAAAUACCACCCUGGUGUGUUUGAGGUUCUAACCUGGGUCCGUCAUCCGGAUCGGGGACCGUGCAUGGUAGGCAGUUUGACUGGGGCGGUCUCCUCCCAAAGUGUAACGGAGGAGCUCGAAGGUCGCCUAGGUACGGUCGGACAUCGUACUGAUAGUGUAAUGGCAUAAGGCGGCUUAACUGCGAGACCGACAAGUCGAGCAGGUGCGAAAGCAGGACAUAGUGAUCCGGUGGUUCUGUAUGGAAGGGCCAUCGCUCAAC